rnacentral:rRNA from 1 species
AUUGAACGCUGGCGGCAUGCUUUACACAUGCAGGUCGAACGGUAACAGGCCGCAAGGUGCUGACGAGUGGCGCACGGGUGAGUAAUGCAUCGGAACGUGCCCAGUCGUGGGGGAUAACUACUCGAAAGAGUAGCUAAUACCGCAUACGAUCUAUGGAUGAAAGCGGGGGACCGUAAGGCCUCGCGCGAUUGGAGCGGCCGAUGUCAGAUUAGGUAGUUGGUGGGGUAAAGGCUCACCAAGCCAACGAUCUGUAGCUGGUCUGAGAGGACGACCAGCCACACUGGGACUGAGACACGGCCCAGACUCCUACGGGAGGCAGCAGUGGGGAAUUUUGGACAAUGGGCGCAAGCCUGAUCCAGCAAUGCCGCGUGCAGGAAGAAGGCCUUCGGGUUGUAAACUGCUUUUGUACGGAACGAAACGGCUCUGGUUAAUACCCGGGGCUAAUGACGGUACCGUAAGAAUAAGCACCGGCUAACUACGUG